AGAUUUUUCCCUUUAAAUAGCCUUCUCAAUUUUUUCCCUAUACACAACACAACACAAUUGUGAAAACGAGAUAUAUAGAGAGAAACUUAGAAAUGGCGGACAGAGCAAAUGAGCGCGAGGCUGGCGAAGGCGAGAGCUGGGCAGGGUACACGUCCAAGGGUAAUGGGAGUUUGAUUCCUGCAAAGAAGAAGAAGGUACCAACGAUGAUGGCCGAGAAAAUAGCUCACUCUGUUUCCUCCACCAUCAAAAAGAACAAGGACAUGAAAAAGAUUAGUCCGGCUGAUGAUGCUGGUUCUGCAUAGCAAAGCUAGUAUAGUAAUAUGUCUUCCUCCAUGUUAUGUAUGUAGUUGGACUAGUUAAAUACUUUACAUGGUGGUGUUGUAAUUAUAAAGUUUGUUUGUUAUUUGAAGAGAGGUAGAUAUGUUUGUAAGUUGUAAGUAUUUCUGUAUCC
rnacentral:lncRNA from 1 species